rnacentral:rRNA from 1 species
AAGAAAGUAAAUAAGGGCGCAUGGCGGAUGCCUUGGCUCUCGGAGGCGAUGAAGGACGUGAUAAGCUGCGAUAAGCUUCGGGUAGGUGCAAAUAACCUUUGAUCCGAAGAUUUCCGAAUGGGACAACCCGGCAUUCUGAAGGAAUGUCAUCCAACCAAGUUGGAGGCUAACGCAGGGAACUGAAACAUCUUAGUACCUGCAGGAAAAGAAAAUAAAUAAUGAUUCCCCUAGUAGUGGCGAGCGAACGGGGAAUAGCCCAAACCACCCGUGUUACGGCAUGUGUGGGGUUGUAGGACCACGCUCUCGCAAGAAAGUUAUUGAGAAGAAGCGACUGGAAAGUCGCGCCAUAGACGGUGAUAGCCCGGUAUUCUAAGGUAACUGAAGCGUAGUGGUAUCCUGAGUAGCGCGGAGCACGAGGAAUUCUGCGUGAACCAGCCGGGACCAUCCGGUAAGGCUAAAUACUCCCGAGAGACCGAUAGCGAACCAGUACUGUGAAGGAAAGGUGAAAAGCACUUCGAAUAGAAGAGUGAAAUAGUCCCUGAAACCAUGCGCCUACAAGCGGUCGGAGCAGC